rnacentral:misc_RNA from 1 species
GCUUAAAUGAAGAGGAAGAAAUUACAGAAGCAUAAGGUAUGCAAAUGUAAUAAAGGGAAAUAAGCAAAAACAAAUUGAUAUACUAACAAGUGACAGAAGGAUUAUAAGAAGAAGAAUCAAAAUUCUUCCUAAUAGAAGAUUCAGACUGAAAGAAUCUUCUAUAAAAAGAUUAAAAAAGGGAUUCACAUUUCUUAUACUUUUCUUCAGGGUUUGCAGAUUACCACAAAGCAAGGGAGGAGAGCUCUAGGAUUUAGAAGAUAAAGCUCCUCAAUAUUUGAGUAGAGACCAACUUUCCCUGCUAAUGAAUCAAACCCCGUUUGGCCAGAUAUUUCUUGUAUAUUAUCCAAAGGCCUAUGAACUCUCCCGGCUAUUACUCUGCAUACUAUCAAAGCUUUCCUUAUUGAUGGGUCUCCCUCAAAUAUUUCAAUAGAUUCAAAAGCUCUGCCACUAGUAGAAGUUGUGAAUACACCUAUUCCACCUUUAAGCUCCUUCUUGACAGAGAACCCAUUUCUAAUAAUUCGACAAACACAGCAUUUCUCAGAUACGCACAAACUCGAGCACCCGUUUAGGCCUAGAGAGCAUGCAACAGUGGUACCGUAGAAUCUCAAAAGUUCAUUCCCAUCAGCAAUACACCGAGGGUGUUUCUUGGGGAGUUUGCUGGCCUUAAUUUUCACCAUCUCUCUAUAUUCUUCAAACCGAGCUAGAGUUCUUUGCAUAUUGUGAACUUUCAAUACUCUCUCAAUUCGACCACAAUGGUUUUCGCUUUUUAGCCAACUAGUCCGGCAUAUGAUUUCAACUAUCUUUCUUGAUGAGUCACCUUCCACAAGUUCAGUGACUGUCAAGUAGAGCAAUCAAAUGAGGUGCUGAGAGAGAAAGCUACUUCAGAAUAUAAGUACAGCAAAUCAUUUAUCAAAAUAAAAAAAAAAAGAUCAGAAUAACAAGAUAUAUAGUCCCUAAUUAAAGCAAGAAAUGAGAUUGGGGGUGUGCCAAAGACUCAUUUCCAACUUAAGCAUUCUUUUCCAAGUCACUAAAAUCUGAACAUUUCGGAUGAGAAACUUGAGUUCGAACAGAAAUGGGUACUGCUCAGUUCCCAUGAAACAGAAAAAAAAAUAAGCAAGCUUCUAUAAGUGCUGAAAAGAAAGAUAAUUAAGAAUCUCUUUUUCCAAUUAAAAGCAAAUGAAGUAGGAAAACUCAGUUGAAUAAUAAUAAUAAUAAAGCAUGUAAGGUUUCAAAAUUUGAAAGAAAAAAAAAGCUUCACCAUUAUCUUAGACUAUUGCAUCCCUUUUCUUAAAGUGAAAAGAGUAAAAGGGCCGCUCAAAUCUGUGGACAGAAGAAUGUAUAUGCGUUGAUACCGUGAGGAUAGGAGAAAAAAGAAGAGGCAGAAGCACUGCAACAAUCCACAAAGAUGCUUUGGACAAAAAUACAAAUAAUACCUAAAAAUAGAAUCGCAUAAUUUGGAAAAUGGCUAAAAUGAAGAGUUCCUCACCAGCAUGUUUGGAAAGAUGGUGAUUUUCAGCAGCUUCCCAUUUGGUAAACUGCUCUCCGCAUUUAUGACAAGUGAUUGAAGACCUAUUAGAAUCUGUAUCCAGCGAGACCCUAGUGCUUGAAUGUCCACCACCACCCAAAAUGCCAGACCCGCCAAAUCCAGACCCUUCCCUCUCUGGUAAAAGAAAUGGAGACUUUCUUGGAGGAGUAGCCGAGCUCCUAAAUGAAGGAUUGAAAUAGUGCAUUGUUGGGUGCCCUCCAGGCCCAGGUGUACCAGGCCUUAAGGUGCCCACAAAAGUUGAACCAACACCACCAUUGUUACCAACAGCAGCACCAUUACCAAUCCCUUCUUGGAACCCGCCAAAACCAGUGAUUUUGAGCUCACACCUUGAGUUACUCAAAAUAACUUCAUGGGUUAUAGGGUUAAGAAACUCACUGCUCCCUAUGGAUCUUGGGCUGCAACUCGGUGGCUUCUCCGUGUGUCUUUUGCUUCCAUGGAUGACAUCUUUGAGAUUCGCUAUGGACCUUGAACACCCUGACCUGCCUGCUUUUCUUGUCAAAAUUGUACUCAACUGCUUCCUUGAUUUUGGGUCAUGAACUUCUGAUGGCUCUGAUUUGCAGUGUAGAGAUUUCUUCAAAGAGAACCACACUGUUGGCAUGCUUCACGUUAUUAUCCUUCUCUACUUUCUUUUUCUUUUUAGGCUUUAAAGAAAGUUUCUGAAAUCACAACCUCUCAAUGUAAAUACUCUUCCUCUCCAUUUUCCAUUUUCCUAGAAAGCGUAUCACUUUGAAUUAAUUACCUUUUCUUUGCUUUUCCACCAUGGAAACUGAAAAGAAGAAUCUGAAUAUACCAUCUAUGUAUACUACUUUCUAGUUUCGGUACAAAGUUUUCUUUUUAUGCAAUUUCCUUUCUACUUUGAUAAACCAACCAGACGGUACAAUAUAAACCAACUUUAGCAAAUAAGCAUGCCGGAAACAUUGAAAAGGCAAAAAAAUAAAAAUAAAAAGAAUCAAACUUUAUAAUCAACCUCCCACAAACAAUCCGAAAAUUUCAAGCACAGUGGUGCUGUAUGCAUUCCAUAUUGAGACCCACAUAACCUUCAUCACAUUAAGCAAAAUUUGGAGCUUUUACUAAAGUGGGUUUUCAUGGAAGGAGGAGGAGGAGGAAGAGGAGAAGAAGAGGGAGAAGAGCACAAAAACAAAACAAAACUAAAAGACAAGAAAUCCCAUUAUAAAAGAAAAAGACAAAAGGAAAAAGAGAAAUUGAAAAUUUUAGAGAAUCUUUGGUCCUUGGAUAACAUGGCAACCAAACAUAAAAAUAAGAAAAGACAUAGCCAGAGGGGAUGACACUAUUAAAUGGCAAGUAGUGUAGAAGGAAUACAGAGAAAAAC